CACGUCGAGCGGACAGAUGGGAGCUUGCUCCCUGAUGUUAGCGGCGGACGGGUGAGUAACACGUGGGUAACCUGCCUGUAAGACUGGGAUAACUCCGGGAAACCGGGGCUAAUACCGGAUGGUUGUUUGAACCGCAUGGUUCAAACAUAAAAGGUGGCUUCGGCUACCACUUACAGAUGGACCCGCGGCGCAUUAGCUAGUUGGUGAGGUAACGGCUCACCAAGGCAACGAUGCGUAGCCGACCUGAGAGGGUGAUCGGCCACACUGGGACUGAGACACGGCCCAGACUCCUACGGGAGGCAGCAGUAGGGAAUCUUCCGCAAUGGACGAAAGUCUGACGGAGCAACGCCGCGUGAGUGAUGAAGGUUUUCGGAUCGUAAAGCUCUGUUGUUAGGGAAGAACAAGUACCGUUCGAAUAGGGCGGUACCUUGACGGUACCUAACCAGAAAGCCACGGCUAACUACGUGCCAGCAGCCGCGGUAAUACGUAGGUGGCAAGCGUUGUCCGGAAUUAUUGGGCGUAAAGGGCUCGCAGGCGGUUUCUUAAGUCUGAUGUGAAAGCCCCCGGCUCAACCGGGGAGGGUCAUUGGAAACUGGGGAACUUGAGUGCAGAAGAGGAGAGUGGAAUUCCACGUGUAGCGGUGAAAUGCGUAGAGAUGUGGAGGAACACCAGUGGCGAAGGCGACUCUCUGGUCUGUAACUGACGCUGAGGAGCGAAAGCGUGGGGAGC
rnacentral:rRNA from 1 species